rnacentral:snoRNA from 1 species
GGUAGUGUCGAUCACGAUAGGACUUAUAGCUGCACAUUGUUGGAAAUGCAUCAUAGAGUAAAUUUCAGGUUUCUUUUUCCUCACAGGAUUAUUAGGUCUGUGGAAAGGAACUAUAAGACAGUU